GUCGGUCGGUGGGUUGGUGGGUCGUUUAGUCGAUUGUUUGGUUGGUUUGUCGGCUUCUUGCUUGUGGUACAAAAUUCGUAUUCGGGUACCAACCAGUGGGGAGAAGGUGAAGAGGAGGCGUUGCAUACACAAUGCGUGUGUGGCGCUUAAAACGUGGAAAGUCAGGAGGUUGCCGGUCAAAGACUUUUCAGAAUGAUGAUUUGUGAAACGAAGCCAAUAAUUUGGAAACACAGCUCUCAAUUAGAUAAUUGAUUAAGAAACCCACUAUUGGUUGGUAAAAAGAAUAUAUGGAUUACCCGAUUACUUUGAAUCUAAACUAACGAAACUCUUUGGUUGCCUCAGCGUACGCGCUAGCAAUGAAACCUAAUAUACGAGGGCGGCCUAAAAAGUCUCUUAAUUUACCACUUGACGGAACAUGUUGGUGUUGCUGUAAAAGCUUAUUAAUGAAACCUAAUAUACGAGGGCGGCCUAAAAAGUCUCUUAAUUGACCACUUGACGGAACAGUGCUUUAUGUGGUAGCUGUCGGAGUUCGAGCGAUAUUCACAGUCACUUCCUGUUACGAAUCGUGUAAUGAAAAUAACUUUUUUGGUGAGAAAAUUGAAAAAGAAACUUCGUGCACUGACCAACUACUUUCAUAUAACAAAAAAGUAAAACUCAAAAAAAUAAAAGGAGUUUCUGACACAUCUACAGCAUCAUUCGCUUGAUUUUGAGUGAAUCUAUUUGAACGUGACCGCAUCUGCACAUAGAGUGAGUCACAUUCUGACGGCCCAAUAGGCGCUCCUACCGAAGAAACUGUUAAAAAGGGACAGAAUAUUCUUAUGAAGAUCGAAGAGAAA